AGGACGAACGCUGGCGGCGUGCCUAAUACAUGCAAGUCGAGCGGACUAAUUGGAGCUUGCUCCAAUUAGUUAGCGGCGGACGGGUGAGUAACACGUGGGCAACCUACCUAUAAGACUGGGAUAACUUCGGGAAACCGGAGCUAAUACCGGAUGACACAAAGGAACUCCUGUUCCUUUGUUGAAAGAUGGCUUCGGCUAUCACUUAUAGAUGGGCCCGCGGCGCAUUAGCUAGUUGGUGAGGUAACGGCUCACCAAGGCGACGAUGCGUAGCCGACCUGAGAGGGUGAUCGGCCACACUGGGACUGAGACACGGCCCAGACUCCUACGGGAGGCAGCAGUAGGGAAUCUUCCGCAAUGGACGAAAGUCUGACGGAGCAACGCCGCGUGAGCGAUGAAGGCCUUCGGGUCGUAAAAGCUCUGUUGUUAGGGAAGAACAAGUGCUAGUUGAAUAAGCUGGCACCUGAC
rnacentral:rRNA from 1 species